rnacentral:lncRNA from 10 species
AAACAUGAGGAUGAAAAGCCAAUAUGUUAAGGACAUGAAGUGAAAAGCGGGAAGAGCUUCUUAUUCAUGUUAUCACUGAGCAGGCUUCAUUUCCAACGUGGUUAAGCGGGAACUGGGGGCUCUGCUCAUUAUAGUUGCCCACGGCCUCCAGUCAAUGAAAUUUCCGGCCAAUGAAAUGCUCUACUGUGACUGAAGCAGCAAAGAGAAGAUGGGUGGCUUUGAAAUCAGAAUUGGAUGCAGAGGGAGUCCCAGAGGCCAACACUGUGAACAUAAGAAGGGAAAGACCAGUUCUGCAAGCACAGAUGUAAUUUUGAGAAGCAGAGCUACAGGUAAUUAGCACAUGGUCCCUAGAAAAAUAGGCACAAUGAGUCGACUAGAAAUACACACUGUCUCUUGAGAGCAAAACUUCACAAUCAGCACUGUUCUGCCGGAGGCCUCUCCAGAUUGUGAUGCACUGGGAGCAAGCCACCAUGAACAUAUCCUCAGGUCUCCAGUCUUCUGCCAUCGCAUGAAAAAUGGAGCUUGUCAAACACAGAGCAGAGCUGAACUUUCUGAAUUCCACAGGACAGUUCAGAGUGCUUGGAAUGACACCCACCUGCAAUUUAAACAAAAAAGAAGGAUGAGUAAGUGAGGAGCUAAAAAUUGCAUGUUUCCCUAAAUUAGAUUUAUUUGUAAGCUUUAAGUAAGUGCAAACAUAUUUCGAAUUAUCUGUUAUGAAUUGUGGUUUUGUUAUUAAAUAGACAUUUUGUUUAAUUCUU